rnacentral:rRNA from 1 species
GAUGAACGCUGGCGGCGUGCCUAAUACAUGCAAGUCGAGCGAACGGACGAGAAGCUUGCUUCUCUGAUGUUAGCGGCGGACGGGUGAGUAACACGUGGAUAACCUACCUAUAAGACUGGGAUAACUUCGGGAAACCGGAGCUAAUACCGGAUGAUAUUUUGAACCGCAUGGUUCAAUAGUGAAAGACGGUCUUGCUGUCACUUAUAGAUGGAUCCGCGCUGCAUUAGCUAGUUGGUAAGGUAACGGCUUACCAAGGCAACGAUGCAUAGCCGAACUGAGAGGGUGAUCGGCCACACUGGAACUGAGACACGGUCCAGACUCCUACGGGAGGCAGCAGUAGGGAAUCUUCCGCAAUGGGCGAAAGCCUGACGGAGCAACGCCGCGUGAGUGAUGAAGGUCUUCGGAUCGUAAAACUCUGUUAUUAGGGAAGAACAUAUGUGUAAGUAACUGUGCACAUCUUGACGGUACCUAAUCAGAAAGCCACGGCUAACUACGUG